CACGUCUUAUAAAUUUUCCCCCAAAUUCAACCUCUUUUUUUAAUAAGUAGUUCAUUUUGGUACAGCUUUUCCUCUUCCAAGCAGAAGUUUCAUUUCACAACUCACAAGACUCAAUAUCAAAAUGUCUCUAUCCUAAACACAAAGUAUAAAGAAGGAGAUGGGUCAUCACCACCACCACCACCAUGAAGGUGCCAAUCCAUAUGAUGAUCCCUUCCUGGCAUGUUGUUGCUUCCCUUGCUUGCUAGUAUCCUCUGUGUUCUCUAUGUUUACGAGGUGCAUCUGUUACCCUUUUCUGCACUGUUUGGGAUGGGAUGAACAUAGACACCAACACCAUCAUCACCACCACAGCCAUUUCUUAUAAUUAACCCCAAAUUUGAUGAUUAUUUUUGUGGUAGCAAGACAAAGUUGUGAUUUUUGUUUUUCCAGUUUCAGAGGAUUGUUAGUAUUUCAAUUUGGUUGUUUGUGUAUACGUUACCUUAUGUACCAGUUAUAAAUUUGAGUUGUUGUUUGUUCACUCUGAGUCCAAAGGGAUGGAAGAAAAAUAGGGUUGUUUGUUGCAAAUCAUUAAAGUUUAUGUUGUUUUCUUGAAA